UCCGGAGUAGCUCAGCGGUAGAGCGAGUGACUGUUAAUCACCAGGUCGGGAGUUCAAAUCUCUCCUCCGGAG
rnacentral:tRNA from 1 species